UACGUAGGGUGCAAGCGUUAUCCGGAAUUAUUGGGCGUAAAGAGCUCGUAGGCGGUUUGUCGCGUCUGCUGUGAAAACUGGGGGCUCAACCUCCAGCCUGCAGUGGGUACGGGCAGACUAGAGUGCGGUAGGGGAGAUUGGAAUUCCUGGUGUAGCGGUGGAAUGCGCAGAUAUCAGGAGGAACACCGAUGGCGAAGGCAGAUCUCUGGGCCGUAACUGACGCUGAGGAGCAAAAGCGUGGGGAGCGAACAGGAUUAGAAACCCUCGUA
rnacentral:rRNA from 1 species